rnacentral:tRNA from 1 species
UCCCUGAUGGCUUAGCUGUUAAAGCGUCUGCCUCCAAUGCAGGAGACCUGGGUUCGAUCCCUGAGUAGGGAA